ACAACCUUACUUGAACAGGAUCUGUUCUAUUGGCUCGUACCACUAUAUCCUUGAGUUCUAAGGAGACAGGAAACCAAGUCUGGUGGAUGAAUCAUGGCCAUUAGGCCAGCCC
rnacentral:snoRNA from 1 species